rnacentral:lncRNA from 1 species
CACCGGGAGCGCGCGGGAGUGAAUCGUGAUGCGGCGCUGCCUUGGGUCUGUCUCCACCUGGCGGCCCUGGCUGUGUAGCCGGGUGCGUUGAGGGGAAACUGAGGCCCGGAGGAGGAAAGCAGCUGCUUCCCUGGAACAUUCUGCCGUAUGCCUGGUGUUCUACACCAUUUUCUCGUUUAAAUCGUCAUGGGCUUGCAAAUCCCCUACUUCCUGACAGGGAGGAGGCGGUCGGUGCUGUAACCGGCUUCAGACCCAGACCUCAGGAUUGGCGUUCCAGAGCUCCUUGGUCCUCAGCUGAUAUCUGGACUGGCUGUCCCAUAGGAUCCAGGUCCCAUUCCCAGCACUCACAGAGAAUGUAACUCCAGUUCCAAGGAAUCUGAUGUCUUCUUCUGGACCUUCAUAGGCACAGCCCACACAGACAUACAUUCAAGCAAAACACCAAAACGAUAAACAGGCUCUCACUGUGUAACUCCAAGCUGGCUACCUUCAGGGUCUGUCACAUGAUACUCCCACUUAGAAGACCUUCCCUGGUGUCCUCCUCCAUAUUGUCCCCCCAAAUGUACUACCUAGGAGCUCUACACUUGAACCCAAGGGCCCUGGGUCAGAAUUCUAGCGGUAACCUUGGAGCUCCAGGGUUGCUUCUGAUUAAUGAUAGAUGAUUGCUCCAGAUUGCCUCCAGGAUCAAACGAGGGCGCACCCACAUCGUACCAUCAGCACAAGGCCUGGCACCAUAGAGUUCUUAGUAAAUCUUAGCUGUUAUCAGCCUUCCCCUGGCCAGUGCUUGCUGACUGCUCAAGUUUCUCAGCCUUUGAAUCAAGCACUUUCCGC